CAAUAGCGUAUAUUUAAGUUGUUGCAGUUAAAAAGCUCGUAGUUGGAUUUCGGAUGGGAUUUGCCGGUCCGUCGUUACGAUGUGCACUGGCCAGUCCUAUCUUGUUGUCGGGGACUAGCUCCUUGGAUUCACUUCCUGGGACUAGGAGCUGACGAGGUUACUUUGAGUAAAUUAGAGUGUUCAAAGCAAGCCUACGCUCUGAAUACAUUAGCAUGGAAUAACACGAUAGGACUCUGGCUUAUCUUGUUGGUCUGUGAGACCAGAGUAAUGAUUAAGAGGGACAGUCGGGGGCAUUCGUAUUUCAUUGUCAGAGGUGAAAUUCUUGGAUUUAUGAAAGACGAACUUCUGCGAAAGCAUUUGUCAAGGAUGUUUUCAUUA
rnacentral:rRNA from 1 species